UCUCAUGUUUUUGUUUUAUAAGGGCAGGCAUCAACAGUUGAGGAAAUGUCCUUGAUAAAUCUCUCAACUGCCUGGAGGAAACGCAGAUACCGAUUAAUAGCUUGUCCAAUGAUGGAGAAAUACAUUUAAAGGACAAUGGGAAAAGGAUCAUGGAGAAGUUGAUGACAAAGGAGGUAAUGGCCAGUUUCAAUAUGAAGGGCGGGAAAGGAACAUCUUUACAAUGUUGUCACAGAGUGUCUAGAGGACUUCAAAGGAGACGGAGGCAAACAUUGGAGCGGCUGUCGCCGUAUGUUUAAAAUAUGCCCCAGACAGGCAGGGGCGGAGGUUGCAGGAAAAAAAAAUUGUACGAUUUUAGAAUAAGGAUAAUAAUGUUAAGUAUAAAUGGUUGAAAACCUUCUGUUAAAAUAAUGUAAAAAAAAAAAGAAUAAAAUAAAAGGUUAUUUUAUAAUCCAUUUAAUUUCUUUGUCAUUUAUCUAAUAAACAUCAUUUGUGGAUUACAGUUCACUAAAAAUUAAAUUACUUUUCUGUUUGCUCUUGUCUUAA